rnacentral:rRNA from 1 species
AUUGAACGCUGGCGGCAUGCUUUACACAUGCAAGUCGAACGGCAGCGGGGGCUUCGGCCCGCCGGCGAGUGGCGAACGGGUGAGUAAUGCAUCGGAACGUGCCCAGUCGUGGGGGAUAACACAUCGAAAGAUGUGCUAAUACCGCAUACGUCCUGAGGGAGAAAGCGGGGGAUCUUCGGACCUCGCGCGAUUGGAGCGGCCGAUGUCGGAUUAGCUAGUUGGUGGGGUAAAAGCCCACCAAGGCGACGAUCCGUAGCGGGUCUGAGAGGAUGAUCCGCCACACUGGGACUGAGACACGGCCCAGACUCCUACGGGAGGCAGCAGUGGGGAAUUUUGGACAAUGGGGGCAACCCUGAUCCAGCCAUGCCGCGUGAGUGAAGAAGGCCUCGGUUGUAAGACUCUUUUGUACGGAAGAAAUACGCCGCCUCUAACAUAAGGCGGUGGAGUGACGGUACCGUAACGAAGAAGACACCGGCUAACUACGUGCCAGCAGCCGCG